rnacentral:rRNA from 1 species
GAUGAACGCUGGCGGCGUGCUUAACACAUGCAAGUCGAACGAUGAAGCCCAGCUUGCUGGGUGGAUUAGUGGCGAACGGGUGAGUAACACGUGAGUAACCUGCCCUUGACUCUGGGAUAAGCCCGGGAAACUGGGUCUAAUACCGGAUAGGAGCGCCUGUCGCAUGACGGGUGUUGGAAAGAUUUUUCGGUCAUGGAUGGACUCGCGGCCUAUCAGCUUGUUGGUGAGGUAAUGGCUCACCAAGGCGACGACGGGUAGCCGGCCUGAGAGGGUGACCGGCCACACUGGGACUGAGACACGGCCCGGACUCCUACGGGAGGCAGCAGUGGGGAAUAUUGCACAAUGGGCGGAAGCCUGAUGCAGCGACGCCGCGUGAGGGAUGACGGCCUUCGGGUUGUAAACCUUCUUCAGUAAGGGAAGA